GGCCAGACUCCUACGGGAGGCAGCAGUGGGGAAUAUUGGGCAAUGGGCGCAAGCCUGACCCAGCAAUGCCGCGUGAAGGAAGAAGGCUUUCGGGUUGUAAACUUCUUUGACAGGGGAAGAGCAGAAGACGGUACCCUGAAAACAAGCCACGGCUAACUACGUGCCAGCAGCCGCGGUAAUACGUAGGUGGCAAGCGUUGUCCGGAUUUACUGGGUGUAAAGGGGGCGCAGACGGCAAUGCAAGCCAGGAGUGAAAGCCCGGGGCCCAACCCCGGGACUGCUCUUGGAACUGCAUGGCUGGAGUACAGGAGGGGCAGGCGGAAUUCCUAGUGUAGCGGUGAAAUGCGUAGAUAUUAGGAGGAACACCGGUGGCGAAGGCGGCCUGCUGGACUGUGACUGACGUUGAGGCCCGAAGGCGUGGGGAGCAAACAGGAUUAGAUACCCGUGUAA
rnacentral:rRNA from 1 species